GACGAACGCUGGCGGCGUGCUUAACACAUGCAAGUCGAACGGAAAGGCCCUGCUUUUGUGGGGUGCUCGAGUGGCGAACGGGUGAGUAACACGUGAGUAACCUGCCCUUGACUGUGGGAUAACUUCAGGAAACUGGGGCUAAUACCGGGUAGGAGCUCCUGCUGCAUGGUUGGGGUGGGAAAGUUUCGGCGGUUGGGGUUGGAAUCGCGGCUUAUCAGCUUGUUGUUGGGGUAGUGGCUUACGAAGGCUUUGACGGGUAGCCGGCCGGAGAGGGCGACCGGCCAGCUGGGGUCGGAGUUACGCCCCAGCCUCCUUCCGGCGGGAGGCGUGGGGAAGGUUGCUCACGGGGCGGGCGAAUGCCGCAGCAACCCCGCGCGCGGGAUGACGGCAUUCGUUUGGUAAGCCGCUUUCGCUUGUGACGAAGCGUGAGUGCCGGUACUGGGGAAGGAAGCCCCGGUAACUUCCGU
rnacentral:rRNA from 1 species